GAUGAACGCUGGCGGCGUGCCUAAUACAUGCAAGUCGAACGGGGUGUUUGAGCAAUCGAACACUUAGUGGCGGACGGGUGAGUAACACGUGGGUGACCUACCCUAAAGCGGGGGAUAACUGUCCGAAAGGAUAGCUAAUACCGCAUGUGGUUCAGCAUUCAUUUGUUGAACUAAAGGAGAAAUCCGCUUUUGGAGGGGCCUGCGGCCCAUCAGCUAGUUGGUAGGGUAACGGCCUACCAAGGCUAUGACGGGUAGCUGGUCUGAGAGGACGAUCAGCCACAUUGGCACUGAGACACGGGCCAAACUCCUACGGGUGGCUG
rnacentral:rRNA from 1 species